CGGCAGGAGCAAUUCUUGCGACGGUAUUAGACGCAGAGGGUUCCUGACUUUCCUGCUGUUCUCUCCUACUUCAGCAUGAGGGCCGUGGCGUGGCUGUGGCAGACGCUGCUGGCGGCUGUGGUCCUUGCCUUGGUGGUAGGACCUACCUCGGCUGCACCAGAGAUGGGACCUGCCGCCCGUGUGAAGCGCAGUCCCGGUUAUAGUGGAUGCAGUCCCAGAUGGGCGUGUGGUUACGGAUAAAACUUCCUUCUUGCUGGCCUUCCUCAUGAUCGAACGUCACCCGGAAAAGGACUUCUGCAAAGACACACACACACACACACACACACACACACACACACACACACCAAAAGUUAGCUUUAUUUUUUUCGCUGAGUGCCUUUAUAUCUCCUUCUUGCUGCAAUAAAGCCUGCAUAUGUU